rnacentral:rRNA from 1 species
UACGGAGGAUGCAAGCGUUAUCCGGAAUGAUUGGGCGUAAAGCGUCCGCAGGUGGCAAUGUAAGUCUGCUGUCAAAGCGUCUGGCUCAACCAGAUAAAGGCAGUGGAAACUACAUAGCUAGAGUAAGGUAGGGGUAGAGGGAAUUCCUGGUGUAGCGGUGAAAUGCGUAGAGAUCGGGAAGAACAUCGGUGGCGAAAGCGGCGCUCUGGGCCGGUACUGACGCUGAGGAGCGAAAGCGUGGGUAGCAAACAGG